GAUGAAGAACGCAGCAAAAUGCGAUAAGUAAUGUGAAUUGCAGAAUUCAGUGAAUCAUCGAAUCUUUGAACGCACAUUGCGCCCGCUGGUAUUCCGACGGGCAUGCCUGUUCGAGCGUCAUUUCAACCCUCAAGCCCCCGGGUUUGGUGUUGGGGAUCGGCUCUGCCCUUCUGGGCGGUGCCGCCCCCGAAAUACAUUGGCGGUCUCGCUGCAGCCUCCAUUGCGUAGUAGCUAACACCUCGCAACUGGAACGCGGCGCGGCCAUGCCGUAAAACCCCAACUUCUGAAUGUUGACCUCGGAUCAGGUAGGAAUACCCGCUGAACUUAAGCAUAUCAAUAAGCGGAGGA
rnacentral:misc_RNA from 1 species